AACGAACGCUGGCGGCAGGCCUAACACAUGCAAGUCGAACGCCGUAGCAAUACGGAGUGGCAGACGGGUGAGUAACACGUGGGAACAUACCCUUCGGUUCGGGAUAACUCAGGGAAACUUGAGCUAAUACCGGAUACGUCCGCGAGGAGAAAGAUUCAUCGCCGGAGGAUUGGCCCGCGUCUGAUUAGCUUGUUGGUGAGGUAAUGGCUCACCAAGGCGACGAUCAGUAGCUGGUCUGAGAGGAUGAUCAGCCACAUUGGGACUGAGACACGGCCCAAACUCCUACGGGAGGCAGCAGUGGGGAAUAUUGGACAAUGGGCGCAAGCCUGAUCCAGCCAUGCCGCGUGAGUGAUGAAGGCCCUAGGGUUGUAAAGCUCUUUUACCCGGGAAGAUAAUGACUGUACCGGGAGAAUAAGCCCCGGCUAACUUCGUGCCAGCCGCCGCGGUAAC
rnacentral:rRNA from 1 species